ensembl:lncRNA
CUAAUAAUUAUUGUUUUAUUGAGUUAUGAAAUAGUGUCUCUAGAGAUGUCUCCCUUGAAAUGUCCCCCAGGAGACCUUUAACACUUUCAAAUGUUCCAAGAAGUCCUGCGUCACUUAGGAAAUCACAUGUAUUUUCCCAUUUACCUCUUGCUUAGCAUGUGGGUGGUGUCGUUGUUGUCAUGUGACAUAAAACCCAGAGACAGAUUUCCACAGUGACGCAUGAAAGACCGCAAAAUAUUAUAUUUUAUACCAUGUUUUGUCCGCAGGAUACAGAGAAGGAUGGAACUCAUCUCAGACGAAGGGGACCGAGUCGUUUGAAUGGAAAUCACUGACUGAAUUGUGAUGCUGUAUCUCAACAUUCUCACCACUUCAGCAAACAAAAAAAGAAAAGGUUUAUAAAGAAGAAGAGUUGGGGCAUGGACAUAUAAAAUGGAUGAGAGCUGUCAUUCGACACACAAUCACUGAGCUCUUUGGGCUCCAUAAGACAUUUACAGUACAGGAGCAGAAAGGAGGUCUAUCAAACC